AUCUCAAAAUUUGCUUCGACAUACGAGUGCUUUGGAUCACAAGCAUGUUUCCGGAAUUAUGCUCGAAAAGCAAGGUUUUAUUGUGUCUCCCUCUCCAUCGUCCUCCUGGGUUACCCCUGGGAAAUGGAUGCCACCUUCUCUGUGAUGUAGACCCACCCAGCACCGUCAGCCGGCCAGCCAAACUCCGCUGCGGGUCCUUGCCCCCCACCCUUCACCUGGCACUGGCAGGGCCAUCUCUGGGCAUGUACCCUCCACCCCCACCAUUUGCAGAAGGCUGGGGCAGUGACCCCUGCUUCCUGACACCAGGGACAGGAUUGGCUGGACAGCCACAGAGCCCAUGGAGAGAGAGCAAGUGCCUGUUUUCUUCUUGGGGACACGGUGGUGUCCCUUGGGACCGAGUGCAGUGGAAAGAUGCUGUGUGCCUCCUGAGAGCUGGCUUCAGGGCUUUGUCUUUGUCCCAAGACCACCGUGUAAGGAAGGAAGCUGGCCUGGCCUGCCAGAGGAUAAGUGGGCAGGUGGACCGCUGAGGCACCCGGGCCAACAUCCAACUUCUAGCCAAGAGAGUAAGGCCAGACUGGACUUUCCAGGCCAGAUGGGACACAACACAGGACUAGGUUCAGCUGAAACUGGCAGCGAAUCCACCCAACUAACCGCCAGAUUGUGGGAAAUAAUAUACUUGCUGCUAUUUCAA